rnacentral:rRNA from 1 species
UACGUAGGGUGCAAGCGUUAAUCGGAAUUACUGGGCGUAAAGCGUGCGCAGGCGGUUUUGUAAGUCCGAUGUGAAAUCCCCGGGCUUAACCUGGGAACUGCGUUUGAAACUACAAGGCUAGAGUGUGACAGAGGGGGGUGGAAUUCCACGUGUAGCAGUGAAAUGCGUAGAGAUGUGGAGGAACACCGAUGGCGAAGGCAGCCCCCUGGGUUAACACUGACGCUGAAGCACGAAAGCGUGGGGAGCAAACAGG